rnacentral:rRNA from 1 species
UACGUAGGGGGCUAGCGUUGUCCGGAAUCAUUGGGCGUAAAGCGCGUGUAGGCGGUUCGGUAAGUCCGCUGUGAAAGUCGGGGGCUCAACCCUCGAAUGCCGGUGGAUACUGUCGGACUAGAGUCCGGAAGAGGAGAGUGGAAUUCCUGGUGUAGCGGUGAAAUGCGCAGAUAUCAGGAAGAACACCUAUGGCGAAGGCAGCUCUCUGGGACGGUACUGACGCUGAGACGCGAAAGCGUGGGGAGCGAACAGG